GAAAAAUAAGCUCUUCCAAUUUCAUUUAAAUAACUCCCACAUUGGCCGCUAUAUGUGGUAUAAAGGCAAUGGCAAGUUCGAAAAUCUUUAUAUUAGGUAUAGGGUAUAUAACUAUCAAAGAUUCCCGAUAUUCCCGAAAUUCCCGAAUUCCAGAAAUCCCAUGCAUUGACCGAUAUUUUCGACAAAAAUCAGUCAUACGCACUGGCGUCCACGUAUUCGGUAUGUGUGGGCUUGAACAGUUAAGGUCCGAUUUUUACUUAAUUUGUCUUACCCACUCUGAAAACAGCGUUUCGAGAAAAAAUGAGUAUUUUUAAAAGCCGAUUACACUUAAAAUAAAAAAUUAGUAACAGUUAAGUUUGGAUAUAACUGUACAUUAAACAUUCUCGUAAAAUGUAAGACUGUACAGCUCAGAAAUCGACCAAAAUUUUACAUCAGUAUUAAGUACGCGAUGUGAAAAAAUUUGAAGAGUGGCCAAACGAAAAGACAAGUGAGUUAAAUCAAAUAGGGUGUAUUAAUUCAAAGACAAAAACAAGAAGCAACGUUAACUUCCGUUGCACAGAAGCUAGAAAACCCUUCAUAAUAUAUGCUUUAGUGUUGCGAUUUGAACAAUAUGUUCGGAGAUUGUAGUGUUACCUUGGACAAUAACUCAUGCCAAAUUUAGUGAAGAUACUUUGCCAAAUAAAUAAUUUCCAUGCAAGAACUUGAUUUUGAUGGGUCAGUUUGUAUAACAGCUGUAUAUUACAGUGCUCCGAUAUCGCUGGUUCCGAGAAAUGAGCAGCUCUUGAUGAGAAAAAGAUGUGUGUAAAAUUGCAUAUGGAUAUCUCAAAAACUGAGAGAUUAUUUCGCAUAGAUACGUAUAGAAGGACAGACAUACGGACAUUGCUAAAUCAACUCAGCUCGUCUCAUAUACAUAUAUACAUAUAUAUAUACUUGUAUACAUAUAUAUAUAUACUUUAUAGAGUCUCCGACGUUUCCUUUUGGGUGUUACAAUCAUCGCAGCGAACUUAAUAUACUUAAGCAACCAAACCAAAUUGAGAUCUAAGAAAGUGGAAACUGCAUAUUUGUGAACAUUUUUAAGUGAUAACUCUAAGAACACCAGCGAUCUUCAGUUAUACAUAUAAGAGAAACAAACAGGUUCAUAUACAUACACAUAAAUCUAUAAAUAAUAUGAAUAAUUAUAUAUGAAGAAACAACAACAUAUUUAUAUUGCAAAGCAGAGAUAAGAACUACAAUAUAAAAAUUUCAAACAAGUAAUACCCUACAGCCGUCUCGGAAUAGCUGUCGAAUUAUUUUAUAAGGAAUCAUAAUUUUACGAACAUAUUUUAAAACGUUUUUGUAUAAUAUUUAAGUAAUUCAUACAUUCUUGAAAAAAAUACACUAGUGGAAAAUAAUUGCCGUUAAGCGGGUUUCUUGCUAUUGCACGAAUAGAACAGCUGAACAACUAACUGUUACAUGAUUCCUAAGUUAGAUAAUUACAAAAAUCAAGCCUAUAAAUAUAUUUCUUUGGUAAUGAAUUUUAUAAAACUUAGCGACUAACAUAUGUAUAUGUUAGAUAUAUUAUAUAACGAAAACUGGUAUGCAUGUAUCGAUAACACUCAGAACGUUACUGUAGGUAACAUACAAACGCAUAAAAGCUCCGAGUUUGGCAAAAUAUUUAUUUCGACAACGACAGCCACGGUCUGCACAAGUGCUGUAAUUGUUUGUGCUUAUUUAAAAACUCAGUUAAAAAUUCCAAAAAAAUUAAAAAUGAAUAUAUGCGAUUUAUAUAUAUUUGUUUAGAUGCAAAUAUUUCUAAUGUGGAGCAAAUAAUGAAGAGCUCUCACCACAGGUUUCUGAUGCUCAGCAGAAUGCCUUAUUAGUGGCACAAAAAAUGAGAAACGAACUAAUAGAUCAUCGUGGUAACGUAAUAGAAACAACUACUGAGGGAUCAUGGUUUUAUCGACAUUUUCACCUAUGAGCAACAAGCGAGAUGUAAUAAAAUAUUAAAACAAUAACAGUAUUUGACUCUUGCGAGAAACAACCAAGUUAUUUUCGUGUACUUAUUUAUAUAAUAAGUUGUUUCAGUCAAAAAGUUUAGUGAGCGCCGACACAUAGAAAACUUAGUGAAAAAUAGCAUAAAAUUUAUUCAUGAAACUUAAAAGGGCAGUGAUCGUUUCAAAAGAAAAAUGAUUUUUGGGAUUUUCUUCAGGGAAACUACUGAAUUAAAUGUUUUAAAAUUUUGAAUAUGUUCAUAUAAAAUUUCAUUUUUCUCUCAAAAAAAAGAUGAUUUUUAACAAUUAUAUAUUUUUUAAUCGAAAAAAUGGAGGGAUUGUACAGUGAAACAAAAAAAGUAAAAAAAACAUCAAAGCAAUUGAAUGAUUUUUCUUUCGAGUCAAAACUGCAGCCAAUUUGAAAAAUGAAGAUUUGUGAAAAACGCGUU